rnacentral:rRNA from 1 species
UACGGGGGGGGCAAGCGUUGUUCGGAAUCACUGGGCGUAAAGGGCGUGUAGGCGGUCAAGUAAGUGGAAUGUGAAAGCCCCCGGCUUACCCGGGGAUCUGCAUCCCAAACUGCUUGGCUUGAGUACGGGAGAGGAUAGGGGAAUUCCUGGUGUAGCGGUGAAAUGCGUAGAUAUCUGGAGGAACACCGGUGGCGAAGGCGGCAUCCUGGACCAACACUGACGCUGAGGAGCGAAAGCCAGGGGAGCAAACGGG